CUCAUAAGUAACUACUGGAAACAGAUCAAGGUUAUGGCUUGUGAUUUCCUUGAUGUUGAAGUCCUGCCAGCAUGAUUAGCGCGUGGAAGGGCAAGGGAAAGCAGUUAAUACAUUACACAAUUUGUGGAGUUUCUCCGGUCGUAUGUUUACAAUGUCCCUUCCAGUUUCCCUUGUUACCAUGACCAAAAUAGAAGCCUUCAGAACACUCAUUUGACUCCACCACAAGGACAAGGUCAAAGGAGAUCCUUGCUUCAUCACAAUUACCAGGAAAAACCACCAGUGACAGGUGUGGUGUACCAAGGGUUGCCUGCCACUGGCAACACAAGUCACAGAGACCUGCCUCUCCACCCCAACCUUGCAUCUGUUGGCCCACAGCAGAGACAAAGUCCUCAAUUCUCAUCACCACCACUGCUGCUUCAUCUGCUUGGCUCUCCUGAAGAAGAAUGAAUAGUGAAAGUGGAUCAGCUCUAAAGAAGGUCACUGAGGCUGCCACUGGGCCAUCCACCACUCUGCAGGACACCCCUGCCUCCUGAAGCUGGCUGAGCACAAGGCCGCCUUCCCUGGCCUCUACUAGCCUCCGCUCCAGCUCCACCACCAGCAUCUGAUUUGCCCCACCUGCUGUCCUCCUGAGGAUUGUGGGAGAUAGACCUUAUGGAACUGUGGUUCCUCGUCACUGGAACAUAAGGCUACAAGUGGCUCCUCGUCACAGAGCGAUGAUGCUGCAAAUGGUUCCUCCUCA